rnacentral:rRNA from 1 species
GGGUUGCCAAGCCGUAAGGCGGAGCUAAUCCCUUAAAGCUACUCUCAGUUCGGAUUGUAGGCUGAAACUCGCCUACAUGAAGCUGGAGUUACUAGUAAGCGCAGAUCAGAAUGCUGCGGUGAAUGCGGUCCCGGGUCUUGUACACACCGCCCGUCACACCACGGGAGUUGGAGACGCCCGAAGCCGAUUAUCUAACCUUUUGGAAGAAGUCGUCGAAGGUGGAAUUAAUAACUGGGGUGAAGUCGUAACAAGGUA